rnacentral:rRNA from 1 species
GAUGAACGCUGACAGAAUGCUUAACACAUGCAAGUCGACUCGAGUCUUCGGACUUGGGUGGCGCACGGGUGAGUAACGCGUAAAGAACUUGCCUCUUAGACCGGGACAACAUCUGGAAACGGAUGCUAAUACCGGAUAUUAUGGUUUUUUCGCAUGGAGGAAUCAUGAAAGCUGGAUGCGCUAAGAGAGAGCUUUGCGUCCCAUUAGCUAGUUGGUGAGGUAACGGCCCACCAAGGCAAUGAUGGGUAGCCGGCCUGAGAGGGUGAACGGCCACAAGGGGACUGAGACACGGCCCUUACUCCUACGGGAGGCAGCAGUGGGGAAUAUUGGACAAUGGACCACAAGUCUGAUCCAGCAAUUCUGUGUGCACGAUGACGUUUUUCGGAAUGUAAAGUGCUUUCAGUCGGGAAGAAGUCAGUGACGAUACCGACAGAAGAAGCGACGGCUAAAUACGUGCCAGCAGCCGCGGUAAUACGUAUGUCGCAAGCGUUAUCCGGAUUUAUUGGGCGUAAAGCGCGUCUAGGCGGCAAGGAAAGUCUGAUGUGAAAAUGCGGAGCUCAACUCCGUAUGGCGUUGGAAACUGCCUUACUAGAGUACUGGAGAGGUAGGCGGAACUACAAGUGUAGAGGUGAAAUUCGUAGAUAUUUGUAGGAAUGCCGAUGGGGAAGCCAGCCUACUGGACAGAUACUGACGCUAAAGCGCGAAAGCGUGGGUAGCAAACAGG